CAAAAACAUCGCCUCCUGCAAAAAUCAAUGUAUAGGAGGUCCUGCCUGCCCGGUGACUAUUAGUUAAACGGCCGCGGUAUUUUGACCGUGCUAAGGUAGCGUAAUCACUUGUCUUUUAAAUGGAGACCUGUAUGAAUGGCGGAACGAGGGCUUAACUGUCUCCCUUCUCUGGUCAAUGAAAUUGAUCUGCCCGUGCAGAAGCGGACAUAAAUAUACAAGACGAGAAGACCCUUUGGAGCUUAAGACACCAGGCCAACUAUGUCAAAGACUCAAGCGAAAUGAAAGUAAACAAAGCAGCAAAUGGCCCACGUCUUCGGUUGGGGCGACCGCGGGGGAACAAAAAGCCCCCAUGUAGAAUGGGUAAAACCCUAAAACCAAGAGAGACAUCUCUAAGGCACAGAACAUCUGACCAAAAGAUCCGGCCAACAGGCCGAUCAACGAACCUAGUUACCCUAGGGAUAACAGCGCAAUCCCCUUUAAGAGUCCAUAUCGACAAGGGGGUUUACGACCUCGAUGUUGGAUCAGGACAUCCUAAUGGCGCAGCCGCUAUUAAGGGUUCGUUUGUUCAACGAUUAAUAGUCCUACGUGAUCUGAG
rnacentral:rRNA from 1 species